rnacentral:tRNA from 1 species
UGCUUGGGUGGCUCAGUUGGUAGAGCACUUGCCCGUGAAAGGCAAAGGUCCCGAGUUCGAGUCUCGGUCCGGCAC